AGGGGUAGACGGGUGGCCGCCCCAGAAGACGGGGAGGAAAGUCCGGGCACCGCAGAGCAGGAUGGUCUCUAACCGGGACCGGGGGUAACCCCAGGGAAAGUGCCACAGAAAAUAGACCGCCACAGCAAAAGCUGUGGUAAGGGUGAAAAGGUGAGGUAAGAGCUCACCGCUUCCCUGGUGACAGGGAAGGCACGGUAAACCCCAUCCGGUGCAAGGCCAAGCAGGAGUCACGCAAAAGGCGUGAAUGGGUUGCUCGCCCAUCAAUCCGGGUAGGCCGCACAAAGACCUAUAGUGGGUCUCAGAGGAAUGGCCACCGUCCCGAAAGGGAUACAGAACCCGGCUUAUAGUCUACCCCUCUUA
rnacentral:RNase_P_RNA from 1 species